CAGCAGGCGUGACGUCACGGAGCAGGUCUGCUCAUCCUCGCGGACGAGAACAGAUCUCUUACUGAAGACGUCAAGGACGACUGACCAGUAGCAUCCAGUGGGAUUGAUUUCUGAGCCGUGGGUGAGUUCCUGUGGCCUGCAGCAUCAUGGGGGAGUUGUUUCGCAGUGAGGAGAUGACUCUGGCCCAGCUCUUCCUCCAGUCUGAAGCGGCCUACUGCUGCGUCAGUGAACUGGGAGAGCUGGGAAUGGUGCAGUUCAGAGAUCUCAACCCUGAUGUGAACGUGUUCCAGAGGAAGUUUGUGAAUGAAGUGAGACGUUGUGAGGAGAUGGACAGGAAGCUCAG